rnacentral:rRNA from 1 species
AAGGUAGCGUAAUCAUUUGCUUUUUAAUUGAAAGCUUGUAUGAAGGAGUAAAUAAAAUUUCUUUAUUAUUAUUUUUAUAUUUAAAAUUAUUUUUCCUUUGAAAACUUUUGGAAGUUUUUUAAAAGACUAGAAGACCCUUGGAUUUUUACUUUUAAUAUUAAUUUAUUUUGAAGGUUUAAUUGGGGCAAUUUUUUAUUUUAAUUUAUAUGAAUUUAUUUUAUGAUCUUUUAUUUUACUUUCUGUAUAAAUACCCAAGGGAUAACAGCGUAAUUUAAUUGGUUAGUUCUUAUUAAUAAUUAAUUUUGCGACCUCGAUGUUGGUUUGUUUAUCCUUUUUGGAGUAGAAAAUAAAGAAGGGAGUCUGUUCGACUUUUAAAUGAACACAUGAACUGAGUUCAAGUCGGUGUGAGCCAGA